AUUGAACGCUGGCGGCAGGCUUAACACAUGCAAGUCGAGCGGGGAAGAGUAGCUUGCUACUUUACCUAGCGGCGGACGGGUGAGUAAUGCUUAGGAAUCUGCCUAUUAGUGGGGGACAACAUCUCGAAAGGGAUGCUAAUACCGCAUACGUCCUACGGGAGAAAGCAGGGGACCUUCGGGCCUUGCGCUAAUAGAUGAGCCUAAGUCGGAUUAGCUAGUUGGUGGGGUAAAGGCCUACCAAGGCGACGAUCUGUAGCGGGUCUGAGAGGAUGAUCCGCCACACUGGGACUGAGACACGGCCCAGACUCCUACGGGAGGCAGCAGUGGGGAAUAUUGGACAAUGGGGGGAACCCUGAUCCAGCCAUGCCGCGUGUGUGAAGAAGGCCUUUUGGUUGUAAAGCACUUUAAGCGAGGAGGAGGCUACCGAGAUUAAUACUCUUGGAUAGUGGACGUUACUCGCAGAAUAAGCACCGGCUAACUCUG
rnacentral:rRNA from 1 species